rnacentral:rRNA from 1 species
GACGUAGGGCGCGAGCGUUGUCCGGAUUUAUUGGGCGUAAAGAGCUCGUAGGCGGCUCGGUAAGUCAGGUGUGAAAACUCUAGGCUCAACCUAGAGACGCCACCUGAUACUGCCGUGGCUAGAGUCCGGUAGGGGAGCAUGGAAUUCCUGGUGUAGCGGUGAAAUGCGCAGAUAUCAGGAGGAACACCAGUGGCGAAGGCGGUGCUCUGGGCCGGAACUGACGCUGAGGAGCGAAAGCGUGGGGGAGCAAAACAGG